rnacentral:rRNA from 1 species
GAUCAUGGCUCAGAUUGAACGCUGGCGGCAGGCCUAACACAUGCAAGUCGAACGGUAACAGGAAGCAGCUUGCUGCUUUGCUGACGAGUGGCGGACGGGUGAGUAAUGUCUGGGAAACUGCCCGAUGGAGGGGGGAUAACUACUGGAAACGGUAGCUAAUACCGCAUAACGUCGCAAGACCAAAAGAGGGGGGACCUUAGGGCCUCUUGCCCUCGGAUGUGCCCAGAUGGGAUUAGCUAGUAGGU